AUUAAUUUACCUCAUCAUAUUCACUAUUCAUAGAAUAAUUGAUGCACCUUUGGGUAAAUCCUUAAGUUCUAGCAAUGAUGAAAAUUAAUUUAUCCACUAUUUUUAAAUUAUAGGCAUUUCAUUAAUUUCAUGGAUAAACUAUAAUUUUAUGUAUGCAUAUUCUAAACAUACUAGUUUGGUCACUUUGGCGACUAACAAACUAUAUAAACAUAAAUGCACACAUAAAAUAAAUAUCAGAAUAUUUUAUGCAUGUGAAUAUUUUAAACAAUCUAGUUUGAUCACUUUAGUGACUAACAAACUAUAUAAACAUUAAUCACAUACAUAAAAUAGAUAAUAAAUGGUUUCACCAACUUAAUAGCCCAAAACAAAUUAUUCAUGUUUCAUCAAAUUCUUGCACAUUAACGCAACUUCUGACACCAAACUUGUUCUAUACUGAAAAAAUAUUUUCAAACCAUUUUUGGAGAAUAAUAACAAACAUCAAGUUUUAACCAAUUAAAACAGUGAACAACAAUGGAUGAUGUUGGUUUGGACUUUUAGAUCAACGAAAAUUAGUCCAAAUUCACUUAUAUACUAAAGACAAGGGAUUAUAAACCUUUAGUGUUCAAACCUCAAAUCUGUUCAACUAUAGUAAAAUAUUGUCAAAAGUUAAAGACAUGAUUCUGUAAUUAAUGAUAGCACAUGAUUUCUGAAGCGGUUCACGAAUAUGAAAAAAUUCGUUUGCGAAGAUUAUCAAUUCAAAAAUCCAGGCUCAUGAUACCACAUGUAAGCAUAAACUUUAAUUCAUACCAGGAUCUUGAACAUGAUAAUCUUACAUGUAAUUGCCAUAGAAAACAUACCUGAAGCGGAAUCCAUUAUCUUGAAGCGGAAGCGUUAAUUCAAAAACUGGUUUCUCGCCCCUUGCCCUAAUUUGUUGUUACCGCCGCCUUUAGAGAUGGAAGAGAAAAUAAAAAUACGGUAACCCUAAUGGGUGGGGAGAGGACCAAUUUAUAGAGGUUCUCACUUAAUCUGGUACGUCCAUCAAGUAACCGAUCGGACGGAUGAGAUUUGAUAAUUAAUUAAAUAUUAAUUAUGGGCCUUAGACCUAUUAGGCCACACAUACAUAGGAAAAUAAUUUACAUGUUUUCCAUUCCAAGGCUCGAACCAGAGACUCUAGUUAAUGAUAGAGGGAUCAUAUUCAUCUCACAACAAAUCCUUGGUGUUUAGCAAGUAUUAUCUUGCUGUAAGGUAUUUCAUAUAUUGUACUACCAAUACUCCUCGUGCGUUUCGUAUAUCUUUAUUGCAUAGGCAACAUUAAGGUUGUCUAACUUAAGGUUUCCUUACACCCUACUGCACUUGUUGAAUUUUUGUGAUUAUCUCGACUAAUUUUACCAGGUGCUUGAACCCCAACUUUACCGGAACACCAAUUUUAUAGAUUUUUCUAUCUCAUUCAAACCAAGAAGCAUUUUGGAAUAGUCGUGACUCCCGCUUGUCUAUCGCAUUUACUCACUAAAAAAAAAAAAAAACCUUCCAGACUCUAGCUAGCCCUUUACAAGUUUAAAGCACUCACCUAAACCAGUGAAUCUACUAUUUAACAACACGUUCAUAAUUAGUUGAACCACUAGAAGAAUCUCCAAUUAUAGCUAAUUGUGUAUAGUUAAGUUCCUUGCCUUGCUUACUACAAAAUCCAACCCACUUAAUUGCCCUUGCCACAGGGUAUACUGCUUUAUAUGUCCAUACACCAAUCAGGCUGAAGCCCAAUCUUCUAAAUUAAAUUCUUUUUUUCUGAGACUUAAUUAUCCAUAGGAUUCAAGGCGUUCACGGUCUUAUAGGUCCUAUUCAAGCUCUACAGUAAGUCAUCGUCCUAAACUUGUUCGCAUUCCAAAAAAAUGCAGUGUAAGGUAGGCCAAAACAUCAAUCAGGCAGACUGAUGUUUGCACUUUCAUGAGCUUAACAGGCUAGCAGAUGAUCUAAUGUUCUUCACCUAAAGGAAAUAUAGCACCUGUCUGAAUAAUGUAAUGGUCAAUCUCACAGAAGAAAUCAACCAAAUGUGUCAUGCUUUUCCUCCCAUCAUCAGUAUUAUCACGGAUGAGUAUGGCAUUCCUCCCUUCAAUUGCUUAAUAAAAGCAGCAGGCCCUGUAGUCUUAUGAGCUGAUUUGAUGAAAUUGAAACAAGGAUAUAAUUCAACUUCUGACUUAAAAUAGGUACUUCCUGCCCCUCAAACUUUCUCAGUUAAAGUUGGUAGAUGGAAAAUGAGGAGAAAAAAGCAGGGUCAAGGAUGGGGAGUUAGGGAAGUGUGAUAACAUGAUGCUGAACCUUAAUUGUAUGACAAUAGCAUCUUACAACAUCGACCAGGGUAAACUGUCGAUAAAGUUUGUUCCACCAAUUCUGGAUCAACCAACAUCACAGAAACAGAACAUACAUUCUUUUGUGACCUUCGAUCCAUAUAUUCUGGAGCAAUAGCAGUCAAAUUAAUAGCAUGGACAAUGCUAGCAACUGUGGAACACCUAAGCUUUUACAACACAGUAUUCAUCACAGACCAAAGUCAGGAAAGAAACGUCAGCAGCAUGAUAGUAUGUAAGUGCAAGAACUGCAAUUGGUACCACUUCCCCUUUUCAAUGAGUCAAAGCAAAAAGAUACAAUGGAGGAUGCACCUGCAUGUGUGCUUGUACGAAUCUUACAAAUAAAAAAGAUACAAUUUCAAGAUCUGCUGUGAAAUUACACUAACAUUUUUACCAUCCACGUGAGCCAAGAGACUUGAUGACAGGUCCUAAUGCCUGAUCCACAGCUUUGUUCCAUAGGUGUGCAAACUCUAUACCAGACUUCUGUUUUGGGAUGUGCUCUAUUGUCUGAAAAUAUUCAAAUAGAUUAAAAAUAUGGUUAGAAAGACACAGAAUGAUGAGUUGAUUUUGUUUAUCAUAAAUAAUGAAAACCUCAAAUCUUGCUUUGAAACUUCAUAUGUAUUGUACAUGUGUAUCACAGUUGUGGUCAUGAUAAUCAAAGGACAAGGCUAUUUAAAAAUAUUAUACAAAUAACAUAUUCUCAUUAAGCAAAACAUCCACUACGAACAAUAACAUCUUGUCUGUCACCAGCUUUACAUCUAAUAAAUGGCACUGUGAAAAUAAAGAAAAAUAUCAAGAGUACUGACAGGUGGUGAAAAUGACCGUCACAUUGAAACACAAUACAUGGACAAACUUACGACUUGAAUAAGAAGAUAAGAAAAAUAUACUCCCUCCAUUCCAAUUUAUGUGAACCUGUUUGACUGGGCACAGAGUUUAAGAAAAAAUGAAGACUUUUGGAAUUUGUGGUCCUAAACAAGUUAAAAAGGGGCUCAGAGUAUUUGUGUGGUUAUAAAA
rnacentral:lncRNA from 1 species